rnacentral:rRNA from 1 species
CACGUAGGGUGCGAGCGUUGUCCGGAAUUAUUGGGCGUAAAGAGCUCGUAGGCGGUGUGUCGCGUCGGCCGUGAAAACCUGCAGCUUAACUGUGGGCUUGCGGUCGAUACGGGCAUCACUGGAGUUCGGCAGGGGAGACUGGAAUUCCUGGUGUAGCGGUGAAAUGCGCAGAUAUCAGGGGGAACACCGGUGGCGAAGGCGGGUCUCUGGGCCGAUACUGACGCUGAGGAGCGAAAGCGUGGGGAGCGAACAGG